UGAAGCAUCUUUCUACAAUUAUAUGAUCGAAGUCGAUCAUAAAGCGUUUCUUGAUAACGAUUGACUAGAUUCUACUCUAUAAUGACAUGAUUGAACCUAACCAUAAAGUGUUCGUUUACGAUAAUACGAUCAAACCUGAUAAUAAAAUGUUCAUCUAUGAUGAUGCAAUCGAACACAAACAUAUUAAAAUGUUUAUUGAGGGCUCAAUGCAUACUUCAAAUGUGAAUUACUGUUUGAAAAUUAAAAAAAAUCAUAUUUGGCCUGAAUGCUGCAUUGAAAACAUUCAAAUGUUG
rnacentral:lncRNA from 1 species